UAAUACGGAGGGUGCGAGCGUUAUCCGGAAUUACUGGGUUUAAAGGGUGCGUAGGCGGCUAUGUAAGUCAGGAGUGAAAGUUUGCGGCUCAACCGUAAAAUUGCUUUUGAUACUGCAUGGCUGGAAUUAGGAUGAGGUCAGCGGAAUGUGGCAUGUAGCGGUGAAAUGCAUAGAUAUGCCAUAGAACACCAAUUGCGAAGGCAGCUGGCUAGACCUGGAUUGACGCUGAGGCACGAAAGCGUGGGGAGCGAACAGG
rnacentral:rRNA from 1 species